rnacentral:rRNA from 1 species
GAAUAGGGCGUUUGAGUAUUUGUUCUUAGACCCGAAACCAGGUGAUCUACCCUUGGUCAGGUUGGAGUUCAGGUAACACUGAAUGGAGGACCGAACCGACUUACGUUGAAAAGUGAGCGGAUGAACUGAGGGUAGCGGAGAAAUUCCAAUCGAACUUGGAGAUAGCUGGUUCUCUCCGAAAUAGCUUUAGGGCUAGCCUCAAGUGAUGAUUAUUGGAGGUAGAGCACUGUUUGGACGAGGGGCCCCUCUCGGGUUACCGAAUUCAGACAAACUCCGAAUGCCAAUUAAUUUAACUUGGGAGUCAGAACAUGGGUGAUAAGGUCCGUGUUCGAAAGGGAAACAGCCCAGACCACCAGCUAAGGUCCCAAAAUAUAUGUUAAGUGGAAAAGGAUGUGGCGUUGCCCAGACAACUAGGAUGUUGGCUUAGAAGCAGCCAUCAUUUAAAGAGUGCGUAAUAGCUCACUAGUCGAGUGACACUGCGCCGAAAAUGUACCGGGGCUAAACAUAUUACCGAAGCUGUGGAUUGUCCUUUGGACAAUGGUAGGAGAGCGUUCUAAGGGCGUCGAAGCAUGAUCGCAAGGACAUGUGGAGCGCUUAGAAGUGAGAAUGCCGGUGUGAGUAGCGAAAGACGGGUGAGAAUCCCGUCCACCGAUUGACUAAGGUUUCCAGAGGAAGGCUCGUCCGCUCUGGGUUAGUCGGGUCCUAAGCUGAGGCCGACAGGCGUAGGCGAUGGAUAACAGGUUGAUAUUCCUGUACCACCUAGUAUCGUUUUAAUCGAUGGGGGGACG